AGUUCGGGACUCGUCUCGAUCAUCCGUUUGGCUUCUCCUCGCGGAGAUGUCGUCGGAUCGAUCGUCGUGUGCUGAGUUGUGAUGGGACGACGCAUGAGUGGCGGUCGAGAUAUUUUCAUCGCAGGCUCCAUGCUUUUUGCAUCGAACUGCGUUGGCUUAUCUUUUUCAUUAGCGGGCUCUCCUAUCGCUUCUAGCGUUGGUUGUGGUCGCUCGUUUGGGUUCCUGCGUGGACUUUCGGAGUCGACAUUCGGAUGGACUUUUGUCCCGGCUCAAUUUGUGAAUCCUCCCUCGCUUCGUGCGGUGUCGGUGGUGAUUGUGUUUUUGUCGGCAAUCGUCAUAUGAGUUGUUCAGUCGCUCGUGAUGGCUUGCCGAUGCAAUCGGUUUUCUCGGGUGCGGAGAAUUUCUUGUCCAUCGCAUCGGUCAUCGGCCCUUGUGAGCGUAACAUUACUAAGCAUUGUCGCUUUUGUUUUACGACCCUCGUUCUCCUCCGGGAGAUCACGGAGCUUUGAAGUUCCGUGUCGUGACCGGAGAGCAAUCGAGGUCGAGGACGGAAUCUACCUGGUUGAU
rnacentral:misc_RNA from 1 species